UGAGGAAUUUUGCGCAAUGGGAGCAAUCCUGACGCAGCAACGCCGCGUGGGUGAUGAAGGCCUUCGGGUCGUAAAGCCCUGUCAGGUGGGAAGAAUGUCCCGGGACUGAACAGGUUUUGGGAGUGACGGUACCACCAGAGGAAGCACCGGCUAACUCCGUGCCAGCAGCCGCGGUAAUACGGAGGGUGCAAGCGGUAUUCGGACUUACUGGGCGUACAGCGCGUGUAGGCGGUCCUGCAAGUCGGAUGUGAAAGCCCCGGGCUUAACCCGGGAAGUGCAUUGGAAACGGUGGGACUUGAGUACUGGAGAGGAUGGGGGAAUUCCCGGUGUAGAGGUGAAAUUCGUAGAGAUCGGGAGGAAUAUCAGUGGCGAAGGCGCCCAUCUGGACGGUAACUGACGCUGAGACGCGAAAGCGUGGGGAGCAAACA
rnacentral:rRNA from 1 species